AAUGGAGUGCCUGAAAAAGGACAAUUUUGAUAGAAUUGGUCAUGUGGACCCCCCCCCACCUCCAUUU
rnacentral:tRNA from 1 species